AGAGCGAACGCUGGCGGCAGGCCUAACACAUGCAAGUCGAGCGCCCGUAGCAAUACGGGAGCGGCAGACGGGAGAGUAACACGUGGGAACGCGCCCUUCGGUUCGGAAUAACUCAGGGAAACUUGAGCUAAUACCGGAUACGCCCUUACGGGGAAAGAUUUAUUGCCGAAGGAACGGCCCGCGUCCGAUUAGCUAGUUGGUGAGGUAAUGGCUCACCAAGGCGACGAUCGGUAGCUGGUCUGAGAGGAUGACCAGCCUCACUGGGACUGAGACACGGCCCAGACUCCUACGGGAGGCAGCAGUGGGGAAUAUUGGACAAUGGGCGCAAGCCUGAUCCAGCCAUGCCGCGUGGAUGAUGAAGGCCUUAGGGUUGUAAAGUCCUUUUAACUGGGAAGAUAAUGACGGUACCGUAGAAUAAGCCCGGCUAACUUCGCGCCAGCAGCCGC
rnacentral:rRNA from 1 species